GACGAACGCUGGCGGCGUGCUUAACACAUGCAAGUCGAACGGAAAGGCCUGCUUUCCCUUGUGGAUUGCGGGUACUCGAGUGGCGAACGGGUGAGUAACACGUGAGUGAUCUGCCCCCAACUUGGGUAUAAGCCUGGGAAACUGGGUCUAAUUCCCGAUAGGACUGCAGGGUGGUUUCUGUGGUGGAAAACGAUUUUCUAGUGGUUGGGGAUGAGCUCGCGGCCUAUCAGCUUGUUGGUGGGGUAAUGGCCUACCAAGGCGGCGACGGGUAGCCGGCCUGGGAGGGUGGACGGCAACAUUGGGACUGAGAUACGGCCCAGACUCCUACGGGAGGCAGCAGUGGGGAAUAUUGCACAAUGGGCGGAAGCCUGAUGCAGCGACGCCGCGUGGGGGAUGACGGCCUUCGGAUUGUAAACUCCUUUCGACCGCGAGGAAGCCACCUGGUUGGAAGGGUGGUGACGGUAGUGGUAGAAGAAGCACCGGCUAACUACGUG
rnacentral:rRNA from 1 species